GUGCUGUGUGAGAGUGCUCUGUGAGAGAGUGCUGUGAGUGUGAUGGGUGUGAGAAUGCUGUGUGUGUGAAAGUGCUGUGUGUGAUGGUGUGAGAGUGCUGUGUGAGAGAGUGCUCUGUGAGAGUGCUGUGUGUGUGUGAGAGUGCUCUGUGAGAGUGCUGUGAGUGUGAUGGGUGUGAGAGAGUGCUGUGUGUGAUGGGUGUGAGAGUGCUGUGUGUGAUGGGUGUGAGAGUGCUGGGUGUGAGAGUGCU